rnacentral:rRNA from 1 species
UAGAGUUUGAUCCUGGCUCAGAGUGAACGCUGGCGGCAGGCCUAACACAUGCAAGUCGAACGGCAGCACGGCAGUAGCAAUACUGUGGGUGGCGAGUGGCGGACGGGUGAGGAAUACAUCGGGAUCUACCCUGUUGUGGGGGAUAACGUAGGGAAACUUACGCUAAUACCGCAUAAGAACUGAGGUUGAAAGCGGCGGACCGCAAGGCGUCGCGCGAUUGGAUGAACCGAUGUCCGAUUAGCUAGUUGGCGGGGUAAAGGCCCACCAAGGCGACGAUCGGUAGCUGGUCUGAGAGGACGACCAGCCACACUGGAACUGAGACACGGUCCAGACUCCUACGGGAGGCAGCAGUGGGGAAUAUUGGACAAUGGGCGCAAGCCUGAUCCAGCCGUGCCGCGUGGGUGAAGAAGGCCUUCGGGUUGUAAAGCCCUUUUGUCCGGAAAGAAAAGCAUUCGAUUAAUACCCGGGUGUUCUGACGGUACCGGAAGAAUAAGCACCAACGAACUUCGUGCCAGCAGCCGCGGUAAUA